rnacentral:rRNA from 1 species
UGGGGAAUUUUGGACAAUGGGCGAAAGCCUGAUCCAGCAAUGCCGCGUGUGUGAAGAAGGCCUUCGGGUUGUAAAGCACUUUUGUCCGGAAAGAAAUCCUUGGCUCUAGUACAGUCGGGGGAUGACGGUACCGGAAGAAUAAGCACCGGCUAACUACGUGCCAGCAGCCGCGGUAAUACGUAGGGUGCAAGCGUUAAUCGGAAUUACUGGGCGUAAAGCGUGCGCAGGCGGUUUGCUAAGACCGAUGUGAAAUCCCCGGGCUCAACCUGGGAACUGCAUUGGUGACUGGCAGGCUAGAGUACGGCAGAGGGGGGUAGAAUUCCACGUGUAGCAGUGAAAUGCGUAGAGAUGUGGAGGAAUACCGAUGGCGAAGGCAGCCCCCUGGGCCAAUACUGACGCUCAUGCACGAAAGCGUGGGGAGCAAAACAGGAUUAGAUACCCUGGUAGUCCACGCCCUAAAACGAUGUCAACUAGUUGUUGGGGGAUUCAUUUCCUUAGUAACGUAGCUAACGCGUGAAGUUGACCGCCUGGGGAGUACGGCCGCAAGGCUAAAACUCAAAGGAAUUGACGGGGUCAUAGCUGUUUCCU